GAGAAAAGAAGAGGAGACAAGAGGAGAGGAAAGGAGAGGAGAGGAGAAGAUAAUAAGGAUCUCAAGAAUACCUGCUUGCAGAAUAGCAUGAGGCUGCAGCUGUAGAAAAGCUAAGCCUCGCAUCAGACAGGCAGCUCUCUGCAAAACACAGAAAGGAAUCUUGACAACAAACCAAAACCUUGAAAACAGCUGACGCCACAAUUCAAAAUACC